rnacentral:lncRNA from 1 species
ACGGCAUGUGCCUGUAUUGCUGGGACAUCGAGCCUUCCCAAGUCAACCCUGAAGGACCAAGACAACAUCAUCCUUCAGAGGUCACUGAGCGGCAGCUUGCAAAUAAACGUAUUCAGAAUAUGCAACACCUAAAGAAAGAGAAGAGGAGACUGAAUAAAAGGUUUUCAAGGCCUUCUCCUAUUCCAGAACCAGGACUCCUAUGGUCAUCUUGAUAAAGCAGGAGUCUAUUUGAAGGAAACCAUGCUCCAGACAGAAAUAUGUGGAUUGUGAACAUCAAGUGACAUAUCAUGAAUUGAUCAUCCACAAAAUAAAUGCAAUACUCCACCAUUUCGGAAAAAUAAACACAGUGCAAGUAUUUAAUAUCC